rnacentral:rRNA from 1 species
CUACGGGGCGCUCCAGUAGGGAAUAUUGGACAAUGGGCGAAAGCCUGAUCCAGCAACGCCGCGUGUGCGAUGACGGCCUUCGGGUUGUAAAGCACUUUUAGAGGAGAUGAGAAAGGACAGUAUCCUCAGAAUAAGCCUCGGCGAACUACGUGCCAGCAGCCGCGGUAAAACGUAGGAGGCAAGCGUUAUCCGGAUUUAUUGGGCGUAAAGCGCGUGCAGGCGGUCUAGCAAGUUGGAUGUGAAAGCUCCCGGCUUAACCGGGAGAGGUCGUUCAAUACUGUUAGACUAGAGAAUGGGAGAGGGAGGUGGAAUUCUGGGUGUAGUGGUGAAAUGCGUAGAUAUCCAGAGGAACACCAGUGGCGAAAGCGGCCUCCUGGACCAUUUCUGACGCUAAGACGCGAAAGCUAGGGUAGCAAACGGGAUUAGAUACCCCGGUAGUC